rnacentral:rRNA from 1 species
CGCGUUGGCCAAUUGAUUGAUGGUGCUUGCACCUGAUUGAUUUUGGUUGCCAACGAGUGGCGGACGGGUGAGUAACACGUAGGUAACCUGCCCAGAAGCGGGGGACAACAUUUGGAAACAGAUGCUAAUACCGCAUAACAGCGUUGUUCGCAUGAACAACGCUUAAAAGAUGGCUUCUCGCUAUCACUUCUGGAUGGACCUGCGGUGCAUUAGCUUGUUGGUGGGGUAACGGCCUACCAAGGGGAUGAUGCAUAGCCGAGUUGAGAGACUGAUCGGCCACAAUGGGACUGAGACACGGCCCAUACUCCUACGGGAGGCAGCAGUAGGGAAUCUUCCACAAUGGGCGCAAGCCUGAUGGAGCAACACCGCGUGAGUGAAGAAGGGUUUCGGCUCGUAAAGCUCUGUUGUUAAAGAAGAACACGUAUGAGAGUAACUGUUCAUACGUUGACGGUAUUUAACCAGAAAGUCACGGCUAACUACGUGCCAGCAGCCGCGGUAAUACGUAGGUGGCAAGCGUUAUCCGGAUUUAUUGGGCGUAAAGAGAGUGCAGGCGGUUUUCUAAGUCUGAUGUGAAAGCCUUCGGCUUAACCGGAGAAGUGCAUCGGAAACUGGAUAACUUGAGUGCAGAAGAGGGUAGUGGAACUCCAUGUGUAGCGGUGGAAUGCGUAGAUAUAUGGAAGAACACCAGUGGCGAAGGCGGCUACCUGGUCUGCAACUGACGCUGAGACUCGAAAGCAUGGGUAGCGGACAGGAUUAGAUACCCUGGUAGUCCAUGCCGUAAACGAUGAGUGCUAGGUGUUGGAGGGUUUCCGCCCUUCAGUGCCGGAGCUAACGCAUUAAGCACUCCGCCUGGG